AGAGUUUGAUCCUGGCUCAGGACGAACGCUGGCGGCGUGCUUAACACAUGCAAGUCGAACGAGGGCCCGGAGCUUGCUCCGGUGACCCGAGUGGCGGACGGGUGAGUAACACGUGACCAACCUACCUUCGGGAGGGGGACAACCUGGGGAAACCCGGACUAAUACCGCAUAUCGUCCACGGGCCGCAUGACCUGUGGAUAAAAGGGAGCCUCUGCUUGCACGCUCUCACCCGAAGAGGGGGUCGCGGCGUAUCAGCUAGUUGGUGGGGUAACGGCCUACCAAGGCGACGACGCGUAGCGGGUCUGAGAGGACGACCCGUCACAUUGGGACUGAGAUACGGCCCAGACUCCUACGGGAGGCAGCAGUGGGGAAUAUUGCGCAAUGGCCGAAAGGUUGACGCAGCGACGCCGCGUGUGGGGAGGACGCCCUUCGGGGUGUAAACCACUGUCAGGGGGGAAGAACUUCGCAGGUGUGAAUAGC
rnacentral:rRNA from 1 species